AGGUCCCGAGCGUUGUCCGGAUUUAUUGGGCGUAAAGGGAGCGCAGGCGGUCAGGAAAGUCUGGAGUAAAAGGCUAUGGCUCAACCAUAGUGUGCUCUGGAAACUGUCUGACUUGAGUGCAGAAGGGGAGAGUGGAAUUCCAUGUGUAGCGGUGAAAUGCGUAGAUAUAUGGAGGAACACCAGUGGCGAAAGCGGCUCUCUGGUCUGUCACUGACGCUGAGGCUCGAAAGCGUGGGUAGCGAACAGGAUUAGAUACCCUGGUAGUCAAGGGCGAAUUCGC
rnacentral:rRNA from 1 species